rnacentral:rRNA from 1 species
CUUGAGUCAAAUAAGAGGUCCAGCCUGCCCAGUGAAAUUAUUCAACGGCCGCGGUAUCCUAACCGUGCGAAGGUAGCGUAAUCACUUGUUCUUUAAAUGAGGACUAGUAUGAAUGGCUCCACGAGGGUUUUACUGUCUCCUUUCUCAAAUCAGUGAAACUAAUCUUCCCGUGAAGAAGCGGGAAUCCUUUUAUAAGACGAGAAGACCCUAUGGAGCUUUAAACAAACAACAUUUGCUAAACCACAAUACUAAUUAACAGGAAGUAUAGCAUUAUGAUCUUUAGUUUUAGAUUGGGGUGAUCACGGAGUAAAAUUUAACCUCCAUGCCGAAAGGGUUUACGCCCUGAGCAAAAAGCUACAGCUUAAAGCACUAAAAAAUUAACGUAGUUUGACCCAAUAUGUUGAUCAACGAAU